AUGCUUAACUGGGCAGCACAUAUACUAAAAUUGAAACCAUAUAGAGAAGAUUAGCAUGGACCCUGCACAAGGAUGACAUGCAAAUUUGUGAAGCAUUUCAUAUUUUU